UCGUACCUGAGAAAUCGUACCAGCUUCCCAAACAAAUUAUUUUGGAUCCACGCCAAGUUUUCUGCUCGGUUUCCUAUCGUAUCGAAAACUUCAUCCGCAUAGCCCGCAUAACCAUUAACACAAUAAUAAGUUAGAGAUUUUCUCCGGUAAAUUGGUGUGGUUGGUGAGAUGGCCCAUCACAUCCUGGCAUACAACAGAAACAAAACAAAAUUAUUCGUGCAGAUUCUCCCGGCAUCCGUCGUGCUAAGGACAGUGAAUGAACUUCGGAAUGAACUAAAAAGACUCUCUGCGUGUUUGACGACAAUCGAGUAUUCUAAUAUGCUGGCAUUUCCGCUAGUAUGGAGGUGUAUUCAUCGCUUCAAAACAAGUUUCCGUUCUAAUUUUUGGACCGGUUACGCAGAUCGGUGACGCAACCCUUUAAACCUGCUGCAAGGUGCCGAGUAUCAGCGUUUCUAGAUACAGGAUAAACCAUUUUCCUUCUACGAUAUUGAUCGGUUGCCGCAGGAGCACCAGACACUCCUCAUUUGUUAGGGUGAUGCUGGAGAAGGUAUGAAACAAUACAGACGGCACGGCGUAAACGAAAUCCGGCUUUUCGAAUCAAAGCUACGCCGACGGAUACAAUACUAAAACAGAACGGAACCAGCUCGGAAGCAACCAGCACAGGAAACAUCUACAGAAGCGAAGCUUUGCCGUCCGGGUAGAAAAAUGCACUUCGAAGUUCCAACUGAAGGGGCCCUUUGUAGGAUUGAAAUUCUAAUUUGGUCUGACUUACUAUUUCUGUGCAGGAGAAAACUCUCCUGAAUAAAUAUAUGUUUUGGUUGCUUAUUGGACAU